CCACCGGAGCCGCCAUUCCUUCGACCUCCAAAUGAACUCCUGGAGCACAUCUUCCUCCGCCUCCCCACGGCGGCCGACCUCGCCCGCGUCUCCACCGCCUCUGCCUCCUUCCGCCGCAUCAUUGCCGACCACACCUUCCUCCGCCGAUACCGAGCCCUCCACUCGGGGCCUCUCAUCGGCAUGUUUGCCGGCCACUUCAUACCAGCCCAGCCGCCGCACCCGUCCCCUGCCGCCGCUCGCGCCUUCGCAGCCUUCGACUUAUCCUGCUCCUCCUUCCACCCCUCCACCGCCGGCCGUACGUGCAGUCCACGUGACUUCUUCGACGGACGUGCCCUCCUCGCUGGCGCCCCGGCCGACAAAAGCGGCAUCCUUGUCGGUGCCGAGGUGUGCGACUUCCACUACCGUGAAUUCUUGGUCAUAUACCUCGCCGUGUGCGACCCCGUGCACCGCCGCUACUUCCUACUACCGGUUCCGGGCGACCUGAAGGCACUGGUCCGCAGACCGGAUCUCCUAUACCUGGAGACUUUCCUUGCUCCAAGCGAUGAUGAGGCGGACCCUCUAUCAUUCAAAGUGAUGUGUUUGGCGCAAUGCAAGAUGAACCUGCUGCUUCUGGUCUUCUCUUCCGAUGGACAAUGGCGUGAUCGUACUUAUGAUCAAUGGGGUGCUUAGGCUAACGGUGCUCUCGAACAGAGUAUACCAGCUGUGUUGGAAAGUCAAUUCGUCCACGGAUGCUUCUGUUGGCAAUUGCAUUUCUUGGACAAGUUGCUUUUUCUUGACACGUGCACCAUGGAGUUCUCUACUAUCAAUUUCCCGCUUGACCAAUGAUGGAUUAGCCAGUCUGUCACUUUUGAGGCAGCGGAAGGAGCGCUUGGAAUGCUUACUGAUUGGUAUUAUCAGGACACCGAAGAUGGCCCAUACUUGCUCACCUAUUCAUUUAUGAGAAAUAACCAAUGGCACUGGGAGAAGGACAUCGCAUUGGGUGUAAAGCGUGCGGUUUUUAUUGGUGUAGCUGGGGUAUACUUGCUUCUAGAAGCGCAGUACACCAUGUCUUCACAAAACAAGCUAAAGUUUGGAUACUUCUCAAUGGACUUGAAAACAUUGCAGGUCGAGCUUUUUGCUCCGCUUAGCGAAGCCGUCUCGCCUGGUCGAUUAUAUGCUGAUUUCCCACUAUCGUUGUGUGCACAACUAUAUGAGCUGGUCACGUCGCUCAGCAUACUUUCUGCAUACUCUUAUUUAAUCUGGUCAUGA
rnacentral:rRNA from 1 species